rnacentral:rRNA from 1 species
UGGGGAAUAUUGCACAAUGGGCGCAAGCCUGAUGCAGCCAUGCCGCGUGUAUGAAGAAGGCCUUCGGGUUGUAAAGUACUUUCAGUCGGGAGGAAGGUGUCAAGGUUAAUAACCUUGGCAAUUGACGUUACCGACAGAAGAAGCACCGGCUAACUCCGUGCCAGCAGCCGCGGUAAUACGGAGGGUGCAAGCGUUAAUCGGAAUUACUGGGCGUAAAGCGCACGCAGGCGGUUUCUUAAGUCUGAUGUGAAAGCCCCCGGCUCAACCGGGGAGGGUCAUUGGAAACUGGGAGACUUGAGUGCAGAAGAGGAGAGUGGAAUUCCAUGUGUAGCGGUGAAAUGCGUAGAUAUAUGGAGGAACACCAGUGGCGAAGGCGGCUCUCUGGUCUGUAACUGACGCUGAGGCUCGAAAGCGUGGGGAGCAAACAGG